GAUGAACGCUGGCGGCGUGCCUAAUACAUGCAAGUCGAGCGAACAGAUGAGGAGCUUGCUCCUCUGACGUUAGCGGCGGACGGGUGAGUAACACGUGGAUAACCUACCUAUAAGACUGGGAUAACUUCGGGAAACCGGCGCUAAUACAGGCUAAUAUAUUGAACCGCAUGGUUCAAUAGUGGAAGACGGUCUUGCUGUCACUUAUAGAUGGAUCCGCGCCGCAUUAGCUAGUUGGUAAGGUAACGGCUUACCAAGGCAACGAUGCGUAGCCGACCUGAGAGGGUGAUCGGCAACACUCGACCUGAGACACGGUCCAGACGCAUACGGGAGCUAGCACUCGGGACUCUGCUGCAACGGGCUAAAGCUUGAUCGAGGAACAGCCUGGGAGUGAAGAAAAAGUGCGGGUUGGAAACAGCUAUUACUAGGCAAGAAAAAAUGUGUAAUUAGCUAUUGAUGGAGUGACCGUACAAAGACAGAAAGACACCGAUAACUUCGUU
rnacentral:rRNA from 1 species